GAUUGGCUUGUGGAACAUAGUCGCGUUUGUCAGCACCUCUCCUGUAGCGGUGUUCUCUUUCCUUUAGGUACUAUUAAAAUUAAAUAAUGGUAAACUAUUAGUGAUAUGGAUUCAAAAGACGUAACAAGAAUAUGUAAGGAAUGUAUCAUCUCUGAAAAAUGGAAACAAUUUGAAUUGUCAUCAUUUUUUUUUUUCUUACCACGAAUAAAAUCUAUUACCAGCCCUGGCAGCUAAAUGUUGCGUAACCUCAAGGAUCACACGCUGCCGUGGUCUCCAUGGUGUUUAAGGUCAUCCGCAAUGUUUUCUUUUUUUCGGCCUUCAAGUCCACAAGAGAAUUUAAAAUCCGCCACCUCGUGGAUAAACGGUAGGUGGCGAGAUUAUCACGUAGCAAAGGCGUGCAGUGAACAUCAAAAUCUAACA